GCCGUCGGAGGAGCGGGCCAGGCUAUUCGAGGGGACGAAGGCGACUGGCUUUACUUCUCCGAUUGGUGGGUAGACUGGGCGGCAGCGGCAGGGGCACCAAAUCUGGUGCGGCAGCGGGUGGAAAGAGGUGAAAUUAGGGUUUGGCGAGUGGGGGGAAAAGGGGGAGACGAUGGGGGGUUUCUUUUUUUCUUUUUUGUUCUUUUUUUUCCAUGUGUAGUAGGCGCCAUGUCGGUGCCAUGCGGAGCUUCACCGGAGCACAAAAGCAUGGAAAAAUUGUUUAAUCCCUUAAAUUCAGGGAAUUUUUGAUAAAAAAAAAACUUCAUGGCAAAUUUGGAAAUCGGCCCGAAGUUCAGGAUUUUUG
rnacentral:lncRNA from 1 species